AUCCAAUAUGACUGGUGUCCAAAGAAAGGAAAGGAAAACAAAACAAGACAAUAUGACUGAUAUCCUAGUAACAAGAAACAGAGGUACAGAAACAGACAAUGGCCACAGAGAAACAAAUAAACAUGAAAAAAAUCUGAAAAAAAAAGAAAAAGAAAGCUACAACAGUACUGGCUUUGAAGAAGAAAGAGACCAUGGGCCAAGAAAUGCAGGUGUCCUCUAGAAGCUGGAAAAAACAAGUAAAUGGAUGGAACUCAGAAGGAGACAUCAAAUUUUAUUGUCCUAUAUUUACAACUUGUGUCAAGUCUCUCAAUCAUUGGAAUUGUUCUGCCCAUCAGCACAUUCCCUUCUACUGAAGUGAAGAACCAAAGAACAGAGCUCUACCUAUGAAGACAGUUUGAGUUCUGCAAGAAAUGUAAGGUCACCUUGUACGUGUGAGGCUCAGAAGUUGCAUCCUUCUUGAUGGAGACAUUAAAUAAAAGAAAUAAUCAUCAUAAAGAGAAUUGAUAAUGGAUUUGUAAAUACAUGGAAGAACAAAAAAGUAACCUAGUUCCAUGCUCAAACUCAAAGGAAAGGAUAGACCUGUAAUAGCAAAAUUUCAUGGAUUCUUUCAAUCAUGAAAUAUCCUAUUCUCAUAAAAGGGCACAAAGAAUUCCAUUAUAUCAUAUGCACAUCUUUAACUUUUCCAUUUUCAAAGUAGGCUUAGAAAGAACAAAGGACUUGGAAGUGUUCAAUGACAUUAUGCUAGGAGAAGUACUGUACUUGGGGUUCCAUUCUGCCAUCUCAAAGGGAUUUUUUUUUUUUUAGCUGUCAGAGUGCUUUUUAGCCUGUAGGUAGUGUAUGAGCAGGGAGAAUUCUGUUUGUUCUUUUAAAAAUAGUCCAAAACAUUUCAGUCUUUGUGAAAAUUUCUUGAAGCUUAAAUAGGAAAUAAAUUCAAAGUCAAAUUCCCUAUUAAGCCAUCCAUGUUACUUGUUUCUUAUUCCACUGAGAACACUAUAUCAUAGUUCUACUGAGACUAAAAUAAGCUCAAUAUAAAAAUGGGAAUAAACUAUAGAAAAGUCUUUGAUUUUACCUGAAAGUCAAACAGAUCUUGAAGUUAUACAAGGACACUUUUAGUUUGUUCUUUUAUUUUUAAGGUUAAAAAAAUGUUACAGUUGCCUACUUUAGUGGUCAUGUCUUACUUAAAAUCACCCAAUAAGAAAAAAAAUUAACAAGUACAUAUACAUAUUUGUCUGGAUGCAUGUGUGUGCAUGUGGAUAAAUUUGGAGACCUAUGGAAAAUAUAGGCAAAGAAUCCCUGCUUUUCACUUAUAAAGCAUUUCAUUGAAAUAUAAUUUAAUUGUAAAAAAUGGAUGAAGAAAUAGAGCGCUGUCAGUGGAGUUGACUUCAAGUAACAAAAAUGCUAUUUUGAUAUUUUUCUAAUGUAUCAAAGACUUAAUUUUAAUGUUUAGUGCAGUUUAAUAUAUAAGGUACUGUGCGGAUACUGGAUUUUUAGAAUUUUGAGGGAUCUCAUUAUCCUAUACUAUAUAUAUAGUAUACACAUAUAUGUAUGUAUUAUAUAUAGACAUAUAUAUGUA